rnacentral:rRNA from 1 species
AGAGUUUGAUCCUGGCUCAGAUUGAACGCUGGCGGCAUGCCUUACACAUGCAAGUCGAACGGCAGCACGGGAGCAAUCCUGGUGGCGAGUGGCGAACGGGUGAGUAAUGUAUCGGAACGUACCUUUCAGUGGGGGAUAACGUAGCGAAAGUUACGCUAAUACCGCAUAUUCUGUGAGCAGGAAAGCAGGGGAUCGCAAGACCUUGCGCUGAUUGAGCGGCCGAUAUCAGAUUAGCUAGUUGGUGAGGUAAAGGCUCACCAAGGCGACGAUCUGUAGCGGGUCUGAGAGGAUGAUCCGCCACACUGGAACUGAGACACGGUCCAGACUCCUACGGGAGGCAGCAGUGGGGAAUUUUGGACAAUGGGGGCAA